rnacentral:rRNA from 1 species
GUGGGGAAUAUUGCACAAUGGGCGCAAGCCUGAUGCAGCAACGCCGCGUGAGGGACGACGGCCUUCGGGUUGUAAACCUCUUUUAGCAGGGAAGAAGCGAAAGUGACGGUACCUGCAGAAAAAGCACCGGCUAACUACGUGCCAGCAGCCGCGGUAAUACGUAGGGUGCAAGCGUUGUCGGGAAUUAUUGGGCGUAAAGAGCUCGUAGGCGGUUUGUCGCGUCUGCUGUGAAAACCCGAGGCUCAACCUCGGGCCUGCAGUGGGUACGGGUAGACUAGAGUGCGGUAGGGGAGAUUGGAAUUCCUGGUGUAGCGGUGGAAUGCGCAGAUAUCAGGAGGAACACCGAUGGCGAAGGCAGAUCUCUGGGCCGUAACUGACGCUGAGGAGCGAAAGCGUGGGGAGCGAACAGGAUUAGAAACCCGAGUAGUCC